GCAGGCGUGGGCUAAUUGGCAUGUCACCAUGUGGAGAUGAAGGUUCGAGUCCUUCCGUCUGCU
rnacentral:tRNA from 1 species